CUCCUCUCAUCUCCCCACUUUUAUCUCACCCUUCAGUCAGAAUAUAACCUAUGUACACAUAACCUAUGUACAAUUUUCCACAGAUAUAUCAUGCUUUCUUCUAUCUCUUAGUCAUACUGCUGCUGGGAAUCUUUCUACAUUAUCCAUUGACAGAAGUGAUGCUAACUCCUUAUCCUCUACGACUUAGCUCACAAAUCACUUUCUCUACAAAGCCUCCCCUAUCCCCAGUCUACAGGUGUCCAAAAGUGAUUCAAGUCUAAAAAUAGGUCCCAUAAUUCACUGUUUACCAAGUGCCAAGAACCAUGAUAAGAGCUUUAUAUAAUACGUAUUUGUUCAUUUAAUCCUUCGCAAUGACUCUGAUACAGGUACUGUUACUACCUCCUUCAGAGAAGAGGAAACUGAUGUUUGGUAAAGUUAAAGCUGCAGAGCUGGGAUCAAGAUUAGAACACAGAGCAAUCCAAUUCUUAUCUAUGUUGGAACAAACACAAAGAAUGUGGGUGCCCCUUCAUGUGCCCCACACCACCGGUUACCUAAGAGGCAAAGCUAAGAAGUGCUAAUGUGGUCUUGAGUAAAGACAACUCAGAGAUUCCUAAUUCCGGUGGCAGCUAGAGACAGGCCACUAGAUAAGUCUUCAGUGGCCAGUUACUAAUAUGUCAGACAUCUCUAGUGUAGCCAAGCUCCUCUCCUGCUGGGAGGAGGGGAGAAUGGAAGAAGGUCAGUAAGCAAAACACAAGAAAUGAUGAGGAUGAAGGCAAGAAUAAGCUUUAAGGUUACUGAUGAAUCAAAGUUGCUAGCACAACAGACUGAAAAUGAUGUGAAAAUUGGAGUAAAGCAUGUUCCAGUUGAGAUGAAAGGCCAACCUAAACAAAGCAUAAGUUUUGCUGCUUGGGAUCUACAUAUUCAAAACCUGCAUAGCCUGAUAAUGUCCUGAAAAACAAGGUAGGUAUAUGGUUAGCAGGCAGGAUUGCAGAACCAGCACCCUUCCUUCAAAUUCUGAAUGGUUACAACAUACUGGAGUACUUUCCUCAGACUUGAAAAAUAGCCAAGAGAGAAAAGAUGGCUGUCCUCAGAAACUCCAGUCAUCCAUUCAGUGGACAAGGCAUUCAAACACAUCAGUAAGUCCAUAAUCACCUUGAAAAGCAGCUGAUAAGGUACAUUAAGGUCCUAAGAAGAUCAAACUAUCACACCAAUUUAAUUUUCUUCUAUUUAAGGACAUAAAGAUAAGGGGAAUAUAACAGCUAUAAUCUACUGUGAUUUCUGGAAGCUUUUUAUAGCAUCCACACGACAAGUCUCAUACACACCAAGCUUGAAAGUGUCACUGUUUUAACAACAGCACUGAUAGUACACAGACCUCAAGGAAAUAAUCCAGGGGGCUACUUAAAAUCCGUACUGAUAAUAAUAAUUCUGACAAUAGUGGUGACAACAAUGCUUAUACAUUGCAUUUGAUUAGAUAAUGUUUUCAUUUUAUGCAUCCAGAAGCUCAGAGCCUUACUGCUGCUGUUGUAUUGAUUCUAUAAGCAAGAAAACCCAAGCUCAAAAAUGUUAAGUGACUUGCAGCUAAAUCAUACCCUGCUUGUAAGUGGCAAUGCUAGGGAUUUUAACUAUGAUGGCAAGUCCCUAAAUCGAGUGUCUUUCCUAAGCUAUCACACCUUUCUGAUUCUGAUGAGUCACAUCAAAAUGAGAGAAUCACACAAGCACAAAGCUAAAAUGGCUAAUUUCUGUACUUUAUAAAACAAGAAUAAAAUGGACUCUAAAUUAUUGGAAAAAUUCUCCUAAAAACAAGAUGAGAUUCAACAAGGUCAAAUGCAAAGUAUUAUGUCUAUAUCAAAAUAAAUAAAUAAAUAACAGGAUGGAAGAAGGGUUUGACCAGGUAGAUGUAAUAGAACAGAGCAAAUCUCUCUCAUGAACUGAUGAAAUGGAAAUGUGAAAAGGUAAUCAUAAUUGGACAUAUUAAAAGAAAAGCCAAACACAAAGGUCAAAAAGUUUUCUUUCCUCUUUUAUUAUAAUAGUUGAAAGUUUUUGUUUUAGCUACUAUACUUAAGAAUGAACACAGAGAAUCAGAGAAAUUUCAAUGAAGAAUGUCAGAUAGAUAUGGUCAUGAUGGGUUGGCACUGGUCACAGGCUAGAGCAAUAAAUGUUCCAUGGGCAACAGAAACAUCCAGAGGCUGUUCCAUGAACUGGUCAGGUUGCU